CUUGGUCAUUUAGAGGAAGUAAAAGUCGUAACAAGGUUUCCGUAGGUGAACCUGCGGAAGGAUCAUUACUGAGUGGUUUUCGUCGCGAGACGAGCUGCCCGACCUGAUGUCAUUUGGAGCGGGGCUUGCUGGAAGGGGAAUGGGUUUGCGGUGACCCGGACGAGGCGGAAGCCUGGGAAGGGAAGGUGCGGACCGGCCCGCUGGCGGCUUGGCAUGUAAAUUUCGGCGGAAGAGGCAGGCUGUGACCUGCCCGCCGCCGGCGGUAACCUUUACGUUCUUGAUGAGAAGCUGAAGUCUGAAUGAAAGCAAGGAAAAACAAGCAAAACUUUCAACAACGGAUCUCUUGGCUCUGGCAACGAUGAAGAACGCAGCGAAACGCGAAAGGUAAUGCGAAUUGCAGAAUCAGUGAGUCAUCGAAUCUUUGAACGCACAUUGCGCCUCUCGGUAUUCCGGGAGGCACGCCUGUUCGAGCGCCAUUACAAACUCCAAGCGUUGGCUUGAUGUUGGCCGAUGUCCGGAGAGGGACACGGCUGGAAGGGGUUGGCGCCUCCGGCGGACCACGAGCGUAGCGAGACGAGAGUCAAAAGCGCAUCGAGGGUCCGGACGGACGGCGGCCUUGAGAAAGGGCUGGGAAGCCGAUAGCAACAGUUUGGCCUCGGAUCAGGCGGGGAUACCCGCUGAACUUAAGCAUAUCAAUAAGCGGAGGA
rnacentral:rRNA from 1 species